CACGUAGGGCGCAAGCGUUGUCCGGAAUCAUUGGGCGUAAAGAGCGUGUAGGCGGCCCGGUAAGUCCGCUGUGAAAGUCCAGGGCUCAACCCUGGGAUGCCGGUGGAUACUGUCGGGCUCGAGUCCGGAAGAGGCGAGUGGAAUUCCUGGUGUAGCGGUGAAAUGCGCAGAUAUCAGGAGGAACACCAAUGGCGAAGGCAGCUCGCUGGGACGUGACUGACGCUGAGACGCGAAAGCGUGGGGAGCAAACAGG
rnacentral:rRNA from 1 species